rnacentral:ncRNA from 1 species
AUCGGGUCUGGCGAUGGAACCCGCCGGGAGCUCUGCUCCGAACCGCAUACCGCUGAUAGUUCCUACCCGUCC